GAUGCCCUCUAUAAGCAUAGUAUUAUUCCAUGAUAAAAGAUGUUGAUCUUGCUCAUGCCAUUUGUCGCUACUUUAGAUUGAUCAAAGUGGUGAGUUUUCCAUUAGUAUCUUGAAAAAACUUUUUUGGACAUUCAUGGAUCUCAUCAACAAAGCUCAACAGCUUAUGGGAACAAAAAAUAGGUAAAAAUUGAGACCUCCAUAAUAGAUAAUUAUGAUGAUCUAGUUUUACAGAAUUAAGAUGAGAAAUAUUAGAGAUAACAAAUGUGGGGACAGUGGAGGGGCUUAAGGAGGAAGCCAUGUUUAGAGG
rnacentral:lncRNA from 1 species